UCUGUCCCAGAACUGUAUAGGAGACCAGGGAAUAAGGAGUCUGGCUCCUGCUCUGUCUACCCUCCCCUCACUGCACUGUCUCAGGUACACACACACACACACACACACACACACACACACACACACACACACACACACACACACACACACACACACACACACACACACACACACACACACACACACACACACACACCCCUGUCUAUUGUCCAGUCUGUAAUCUGAUGGUCUAAUCCUGUCUAUUCUCCAGUCUGUAAUCUGAUGGUCUAAUCCCAUCUAUUGACCAGUCUGUAAUCUGAUGGCCUAAUCCCAUCUAUUGUCCAGUCUGUAUUCUGAUGGUCUAAUCCCGUCUAUUGUCCAGUCUGUAAUCCGAUGGUCUAAUCCAGUCUAUUCUCCAGUCUGUAAUCUGAACGGUCUAAUCCUGUCUAUUCUCCAGUCUGUAAUCUGAUGGUCUAAUCCAGUCUAUUGUCCAGUCUGUAAUCUGAUGGUCUAAUCCAGUCUAUUCUCCAGUCUGUAAUCUGAACGGUCUAAUCCUGUCUAUUCUCCAGUUUGUAAUCUGAUGGUCUAAUCCAGUCUAUUCUCCAGUCUGUAAUCUGAACGGUCUAAUCCUGUCUAUUCUCCAGUCUGUAAUCUGAUGGUCUAAUCCAGUCUAUUGUCCAGUCUGUAAUCUGAUGGUCUAAUCCCGUCUAUUCUCCAGUCUGUAAUCUGAACGGUCUAAUCCUGUCUAUUCUCCAGUCUGUAAUCUGAUGGUCUAAUCCCGUCUAUUCUCCAGUCUGUAAUCUGAACGGUCUAAUCCUGUCUAUUCUCCAGUCUGUAAUCUGAUGGUCUAAUCCCGUCUAUUGUCCAGUCUGUAAUCUGAACGGUCUAAUCCUGUCUAUUCUCCAGUCUGUACAGUAAUGUGAUAUCUGACGGGGGGUGCUGAGAGUCUGGCUGCUGUUUUACCUCAGAUGACAUCACUCAGUGACCUGGACGUCAAGUACAACAGUUUCACGGCCCUGGGAGCUCAGAGUCUGGCUUCCAGUCUGAGGGACUGUCCAUGGAUCAAGAGUCUGGGGAUGUGGAAUGUGUGUAUUCCCUACGGAGUGUUAGAGAGACUGCAACAACAGGACCCACGGAUACAACUGCUCUAGAACAUUGUUCUAAUGUUGUUCUAACAGAACCCCAGAGGAUACAGCUGCUCUAGA
rnacentral:lncRNA from 1 species